rnacentral:lncRNA from 1 species
CUCCUGUAAGCACCAAAUUUCCUCUCUGCUUUUUUCCCAGUUCCUCUCAGCAGCAAGAGUUGACUGACUAUAAAAGUGGUUGCUUUAUGGAUUGGAAGAUUGUAUUAAUAUUUCCUCUUAUGCCCUCAGCCUUGUGCACAAAUGAUUAUUUUCUUCUUCAUCUUCUGCUUUACUGACUUUAGAUCUCCGCAAUUGGAAGGGACAGGACAGUGACUCACCUGGAAAUGGAGAGGACACAAGCACAGGGAAGAAGACCAUGAAUGGUACAGAAGGUCACAGUGUGUGGUCAGUCACCACCACUGCAGGAGCAAGAAGAAUCCUUUGAGGGCAGCCUUGCUGAUCCCUACAGCUGAAAGAGAAGGUACUAAAAGAGGACUUUGUGACCUGAUAAAGCAUCAUGCAACAGAUCAAAAAAGCCAAAAUAUUACCUUAGACCGGAAGACCUGUCCAUGCCAUUGUGGUAUUUACAGGCUCCUUUGGAAGCCCUGA